GCGAGGCCCUGAGCCUCUUGAGGGUUCAGUGCCCUCCUCCGUACAAUGGGCCAACAACAGCCCCUUCCCUGGGGAUCUCGGUGAGGGUUGGUUGCUCUGCAGGGUGCCCUGGGCCUGUGCCAGCGCGCUCAGGCAUCCUGGUGACCAACCACAGCUGGCACUGGUGAACGCAGCCUCUUAGCCCAGGCAGGCUCUGGUCAGCCUCACCUGCUGGGACCGCUGAGUGGUCCAAGAGCUGGCUUGGCUGACUGGGACCUGGGCCUCAGCUUCCCCAUCUGUGCAGGGGGCCGCUGGUGAUACCGGUCCCUGCCAUGCCCUGGUGGAGAUAUGGCCCAGUGAGACUUCGUGAGGGGUCUAGGCCACUGCUGUCACGUGGUCCUCCUGCUCCACCACAGGCCAUCUCCCUGGGCCUCAUCCAGACAGCUGGACACUGAGCACAGCUCUGUUGUCCUCUUCCCUGGGCUGAGUGGACUCAGAGGUGCUGGGGACUGCAUGGCCGCCGGACGAGGCGGGGGCUUUCCAACCCAACACCACCGAGCCUGCCUCUUCCUGCCCUGGA
rnacentral:lncRNA from 1 species